AGUGAACGCUGGCGGUAGGCCUAACACAUGCAAGUCGAACGGCAGCACAGUAAGAGCUUGCUCUUACGGGUGGCGAGUGGCGGACGGGUGAGGCAUACAUCGGAAUCUACUUUUUCGUGGGGGAUAACGUAGGGAAACUUACGCUAAUACCGCAUACGACCUACGGGUGAAAGCAGGGGAUCUUCGGACCUUGCGCGAUUGAAUGAGCCGAUGUCGGAUUAGCUAGUUGGCGGGGUAAAGGCCCACCAAGGCGACGAUCCGUAGCUGGUCUGAGAGGAUGAUCAGCCACACUGGAACUGAGACACGGUCCAGACUCCUACGGGAGGCAGCAGUGGGGAAUAUUGGACAAUGGGCGCAAGCCUGAUCCAGCCAUACCGCGUGGGUGAAGAAGGCCUUCGGGUUGUAAAGCCCUUUUGUUGGGAAAGAAAAGCGGCAUGUUAAUACCCCGCUGUUCUGACGGUACCCAAAGAAUAAGCACCGGCUAACUUCGUG
rnacentral:rRNA from 1 species